UAAAGGAAGCCACCCCUUCCGGUCCAUUCUUCCUAUCAUUAUUAAAGUCUAAUGGAGUCAGAUUAGAGAUGAAACCAAGGAUUCCCGUUUCCAGAGGUUUCUCUGUUCAUACGUUUGGCUCUCAGAAAACCUCCAGCCAAGCUGAUGAGUCAUACCCGGACCUGCAGACCACCGUAGACCAGGGUCAAUCCUCCGUUCAGAACGUGGCUAAUGGACGUGGGAACCAGCGUGGAGGGGAUAAAUCUCGGUCCAUUUUGAAAGUGAAGUUCCCCAAACUCCACCUUCGCCCUUUACUGAAGAAGACGGUUGAGGACGAAGAAACUGCAGUGAAAUGGAGGAAAGAGCCGAGGAGCAGAAAACCCAGGACAGCACAGCAUGGAGGAGCAACAGGUGCUGACAAUGACUGUGGUUCUGCUGAGGAAAGUGUGUUCUUCUUUUCUCAAAAAUCCAACCUUAAAUCCACAAACGAAACUGAAAAGGCCAAGCUCUCGGUUCUCAGGACCAUCUCCAGGAUGCUGGAGGAGAACCAGCUCAUCAGACACAGGCUAUUGGCUCUAACUCAGGUCCACUGAGGAGGAGACGAUAGUUUGUUUCCUGCAGCGUGAGGUUCUAGUUUGGUCUUGGCUUUGUUAAAUAGUAUUCAGAUGUUUAUUUAUAUUGUUGAAUAAAUGUGGCCCUUAUUGAAGUGUUUUAUUCUUU
rnacentral:lncRNA from 1 species